ACCUACGGGGGGCAGCAGUGAGGAAUAUUGGUCAAUGGUCGGGAGACUGAACCAGCCAAGCCGCGUGAGGGAUGAAGGUACAGAGUAUCGUAAACCUCUUUUGUCAGGGAACAAAGGCGGGGACGUGUCCCCGGAUGAGUGUACCUGAAGAAAAAGCAUCGGCUAACUCCGUGCCCGCAGCCGCGGUAAUACGGAGGAUGCGAGCGUUAUCCGGAUUUAUUGGGUUUAAAGGGUGCGCCGGCGGUCUGUUAAGUCAGCGGUCAAAGCCCGGGGCUCAACCCCGGCCCGCCGUUGAAACUGGCAGG
rnacentral:rRNA from 1 species